UUAAAUGCAUUUCUGGCCUCUAGAGAGGAUCAACAUGUUGUCAUUGCAAAGUGAAGACCUUCCAAGAUAAAGUUUCUAUUCAAAACUGUAUGAACUGUACCAAGAUAAUUUUUAAUUGUGAUGGUGAAGAUGCAACCAAGUUGAAAAAAAUGAUGUGGGAUAAUACUGAAUCUCCUUCUCAAGCUCUUACCCAACUUUGUGCUUCUUCUAAAGUUAGCUUAGAAGAUGAUUUCAUUAAGCUGCAUCCUAGGAGUUCAAUUGAAGGUUUAAAAGAUUUUAAGCAGG